CUUUUGCAGAAGUAGAUGUGCGUUGCUGAGAAAUUUUCUGCCUAAGUUCUGGUUUUCUUUGCAGCACCCAGCAUUUGUUUCUAACACAGGGAAAGAGUGAGCUGGAGAAACCUCUCAAAUUCAAGAAAGCGUAAAGCAAAUUGAACAAUACGGGUGAGGAGCACGGACUAUUCUCUCAUGUUGAAUGUGGCACUUUUUACAUACAAGCAGGAGAGCAACUACACCAAGAUUUUGGAAAACAUGUUAUGUAAGGUUAAUUGUGACCUCUAUGAUGGGGAUAUGAUAAAGAAGAAAAGUACCUCACAGCGAUGAUUGGCAUGUGAUCACUUAGCCAAUGAGAUAAGAGGCUGUAGAAACGAUGUGAUAAUGACAUCUCCUGAGUUGCAGGUCCAUAUUAGAAGUGGAUAUGAAGUAAACAUUGAGCUUUCCUCACAUUUAAUUAACAAGCUUUAUUAUAGAUACAGCUCAAAUUAGUUAAUUCAGGAAGCUUAUUUUGUAGAAAUUAAAACAUUAAUAAACACAUACAUUUAGAAAUAAAGAACUCGGCUGACCCUUUGACUCUUUGAAACAAGUGGCCUUCCAUGCUGUGAAAGAUUGUAGCCACUCUUUGAGACAUUGGAAUGGUGUCCAUUGCAUUUUAUCAAGUUAACUAUAGGUCAGCCUGGGAAAUCUGAAGUUUCCUUAUCUCCUGUCACUGUGGUUGCUGUGAGAUUUUGUGUCAUCACUGUGCUGUCUUCCCUCUCCACAUGAAGGUGAGCUGUCUGGCUUCACUCUAACGUUUGUGAUUUCACGCCCGACCUGAUUGUUGCCAAGCAAUUCCUUUGUUUGGAGAAUUCUGUGCUUUGUUUAGAAUUUUUUAAAGGUUCUUUUCCUGUGGUCAGAUUUCUGUUUGCUACUGUGUCUUAUGCCUUGUUCUCCUACAGAGAAGAUUCUUUGAAGUUAGUGGAAGCUCAGCUUAAAGGAAGAUCUACUGCUCUGUGUGGUGGAUGACCAUGGGGGAGCGAGAAGGCAGCCUCCGGCUUUUGUUUUGUGUGUGUGUGUGUGUGUGUGUGUGUGUGAUGUACCUGGAAAAAUAACACGACUAGGAUUAAAGAGUAUGUUUGGCAUGUUUAAAAUAAAUUGUAAACCAAACGUAUUUUAAAGAAUUUAUACAAAUUUGUCAUUUAGUAAAAUGAAUGACUAUUGAGUAUUCAUGUCAAUAAAACAACCACUUGAAU
rnacentral:lncRNA from 1 species